GACGAACGCUGGCGGCGUGCUUAACACAUGCAAGUCGAACGGAAAGGCCCUGCUUUUGUGGGGUGCUCGAGUGGCGAACGGGUGAGUAACACGUGAGUAACCUGCCUUUGACUUUGGGAUAACUUCAGGAAACUGGGGCUAAUACCGGAUAGGAGCUCCUGCUGCAUGGUGGGGGGUGGAAAGUUUCGGCGGUUGGGGAUGGACUCGCGGCUUAUCAGCUUGUUGGUGGGGUAGUGGCUUACCAAGGCUUUGACGGGUAGCCGGCCUGAGAGGGUGACCGGCAACAUUGGGACUGAGAUACGGCCCAGACUCCUACGGGAGGCAGCAGUGGGGAAUAUUGAACAAUGGGCGGAAGCCUGAUGCAGCAACGCCGCGUGCGGGAUGACGGCCUUCGGGUUGUAAACCGCUUUCGCCUGUGACGAAGCGUGAGUGACGGUAAUGGGUAAAGAAGCACCGGCUAACUACGUG
rnacentral:rRNA from 1 species